rnacentral:rRNA from 1 species
AGAGUUUGAUCAUGGCUCAGGAUGAACGCUGGCGGCGUGCUUUAUGCAUGCAAGUCGAACGAGAAGGGAAGGACUUCGGUCCGACCUGGAGAGUGGCGAACGGGUGAGUAACACGUGAGUACCUGCCCCGAGGUGGGGGACAACCGUGGGAAACCACGGCUAAUACCCCGUAGUCCUGUACGUACUGGUUGCGUACAGGUAUAGCUCCGGCGCCUUGGGAGGGGCUCGCGGUCGAUUAGCUAGUUGGUGGGGUAACGGCCUACCAAGGCGACGAUCGAUAGCUGGUCUGAGAGGACGAUCAGCCACACUGGGACUGAGAUACGGCCCAGACUCCUACGGGGGGCAGCAGCAAGGAAUAUUGGACAAUGGGCGCAAGCCUGAUCCAGCAACGCCGCGUGGAGGAAGAAGGCUUCGGUUGUAAACUCCUUUUGUGAGGGAUGAGACAAGGACAGUACCUCACGAAUAAGUCACGGCUAACUAGGUGCCAGCAGCCGCGGUAACACCUAGGUGACAAGCGUUAUCCGGAUUUACUGGGCGUAAAGGGCUCGCAGACGGCAGCUCAAGUCCGGCGUGAAAUCUCCUGGCUUAACCAGGAGGGGUCGUCGGGAUACUGUGCUGCUAGAGGCAGUGAGAGGGGUGCGGAAUUCUCGGUGGAGUGGUGGAAUACGCAGAUAUCGAGAGGGACACCAGUGGCGAAAGCGGCGCCCUGGCACUGACCUGACGUUCAUGAGCGAAAGAGUGAGGAGCGAACGGGAUUAGAUACCCCGGUAGUCCACGCUGUAAACGAUGAGUACUAGGUGUAGGCGACAACCGUGUCUGUGCCGUAGCUAACGCGAUAAGUACUCCGCCUGGGGAGUACGGUCGCAAGGCUAAAACUCAAAGGAAUUGACGGGGGCCCGCACAAGGUGCGGAGCAUGUUGUUUAAUUCGAUGCU